GUUCUGGGAUAGCUACGCACGUGCCCGACUUCUAUGAGUAUCCACAUGAGGCCUGAUUUGAUCAAGAGCUUUUUGAUCUCUCUGGGAUGCUAGCUCUCUUGCAGAGAUAGCUUUCUUGAUGGUUGAUUAGGAUCUUCUUCAAUCUUUAAGAUUCUCUCAAAGAAGAAGAAGAUUAGGAGGAAAAAGAUGAGGAAGAAGAAACUAUGAGAAUUCCUUCUCUCUUCUCUCUAAAAUACCUCACGCCCA
rnacentral:lncRNA from 1 species